rnacentral:rRNA from 1 species
GUGCCAGCAGCCGCGGUAAUACGGGGGGGACGAGCGUUGUUCGGAUUUACUGGGCGUAAAGGGCGCGUAGGCGGACCUUCAAGUCGGAUGUGAAACCCCCGGGCUUAACUCGGGGCCUGCAUUUGAUACUGUCGGUCUUGAGUACAGGAGAGGAGAGUGGAAUUCCAGGUGUAGCGGUGAAAUGCGUAGAUAUCUGGAAGAACACCAGUAGCGAAGGCGGCUCUCUGGACUGAUACUGACGCUCAAGCGCGAAGGCUUGGGGAGCAAACAGGAUUAGAAACCCUCGUAGUCC